rnacentral:rRNA from 1 species
GCCGCGACCCGUUGCUGGGGACGUCAAAGGCCCGGGCGGACUGGUACCCCGACGUCGUGCGUUCGCGCCGACGAAGGGGGAAACCCCCGGUGUCCUGGCUGCCCUGCGACGGUCGAGCAGCAGAGGGGGUAACACACCCCUCUCUCGCGGCGUGCAAAAGGUCGGUGACCCACCCGACCCGUCUUGAAACACGGACCAAGGAGUCUAACAUGUGUGCGAGUCAUUGGGCGCACUAAACCCAGAGGCGUAAUGAAAGUGAAAGGGGGGCGUCCCGGGGUCUUCGGGCCUCGGUCGGCGCCCUCCGGGGCCGAUCCCCGACCGCCUGUCGCCGCCUCCGUUUCCCAUACCAAAGCGAGGUCAAGGGGGUGUGUGCGCGGGGUGAGACCCUUUCCCCCGCGCCACCUCCGGCCUCGUGGGUUCGGGGCGCGCGCGACGGUCCGGCUCCUUCGCGGGAGUCGCCUGUACGCAGGGGGGCGCAGGCCCGGGACUUGCCAUUCGACGCCGUCGCGCAAAUCUGUUGUUGGCCUCGCCGGCUCUGCUUGGGCUCUCGGUUGGCGCGCCGCGCGUCAGGCGGGCUCUGGGUGGGGGCUUCGGCUCUCGCUCGGGUUCGUCCCGCGCGGUUUUGCCUUCCG